GGAGGUGAGGGGAAUCUGGCUACUACAUCUGUUGCCCCAUGAAUCGCCAGGGUUCAUUCUUCUGAUCUGGCUGGCUAGGCAAAUGUCCCUUCCUCCCUCACUGCUCCGUGUGUGUCGCUCCUGAAGCUUCAUGCUCAGUCGAAGAGGACGACCACUCCUGAGAGAAGGACUGUUUUCUCAGUCAAGGAUAUACGAGUAGCUGCAUUCCCCAGCUAGAACCUCCAAACAAGCUCCCAAAAAGGAGGUGAAAUCAGCAUCUAUGAUUGUAAAAACACUUUAGCAAUACUGAUAAAUGUGUUGAAGUGAAUAUUG
rnacentral:snRNA from 1 species